UCAAGUGAAUAAGCGCAUAUGGUGAAUGCCUUGGCGGCAGAAGGCGAUGAAGGACGUAGUAGUCUGCGAUAAGCCCCGGUGAGCCGACAAACAGGCUUUGACCCGAGGAUUUCCGAAUGGGGAAACCCGGCCAGUUUUAACUGGUCAUCAUGCACUGAAUACAUAGGUGUAUGAAGCGAACCCGGAGAACUGAAACAUCUAAGUACCCGGAGGAAAAGAAAUCAACCGAGAUUCCCUUAGUAGCGGCGAGCGAAAGGGGACCAGCCCUAAACUCUUUGUUGUGUUAGUGAAACUGUCUGGAAAGGCAGGCCAUAGUGGGUGAUAGCCCCGUACACGAAAACACUUCAAGGAUUAUUCGAGUAGGUCGGGACACGUGACAUCCUGAUUGAACAUGGGGGGACCAUCCUCCAAGGCUAAAUACUCUCUGCCGACCGAUAGUGAACCAGUACCGUGAGGGAAAGGCGAAAAGAACCCCGGAGAGGGGAGUGAAAUAGAACCUGAAACCGUAUGCGUACAAGCAGUAGGAGCAUAAUUUAUUAUGUGACUGCGUACCUUUUGUAUAAUGGGUCAGCGAGUUACUUUUUGUAGCAAGGUUAACCGUUUAGGGGAGCCGUAGGGAAACCGAGUCUUAAAUGGGCGAAUUAGUUGCAAGGAGUAGACCCGAAACCGGACGAUCUAGCCAUGGCCAGGUUGAAGGUGAGGUAGUACUCACUGGAGGACCGAACCAACUAAUGUUGAAAAAUUAGUGGAUGAGCUGUGGCUAGGAGUGAAAGGCUAAUCAAGUUCGGAGAUAGCUGGUUCUCCCCGAAAGCUAUUUAGGUAGCGCCUCGUGUCUCACUCCUGGGGGUAGAGCACUGUUACGGCUAGGGGGUCAUCCCGACUUACCAAACCGUUGCAAACUCCGAAUACCAGGAAGUGCAAUCACGGGAGACACACGGCGGGUGCUAACGUCCGUCGUGGAAAGGGAAACAACCCAGACCGCCAGCUAAGGUCCCAAAAUCAUAUCUCAGUGGGAAACGAAGUGGAAAGGCUAAAACAGCCAGGAGGUUGGCUUAGAAGCAGCCACCCUUUAAAGAAAGCGUAAUAGCUCACUGGUCGAGUCGGUUCGCGCGGAAGAUGUAACGGGGCUUAAGAUAUGUACCGAAGCUGCGGAUGCAUGUUUACAUGCAUGGUAGGGGAGCGUUCUGUAAGUUUGUGAAGGUGUUCUGUAAGGAAUGCUGGAGAUAUCAGAAGUGAGAAUGCUGACAUGAGUAGCGAUAAUGCGGGUGAAAAACCCGCACGCCGAAAGCCCAAGGUUUCCUGCGCAACGCUAAUCGGCGCAGGGUUAGUCGGCCCCUAAGGCGAGGCAGAAAUGCGUAGUCGAUGGGAAACUGGUUAACAUUCCAGUACCGCACUUUAUUGCGAUGGGGAGACGGAGAAGGCUAGGACAGCCGGCUGUUGGAUAUGCCGGUUUAAGCGUUUAGGUAGGCUCUUUAGGCAAAUCCGGAGAGCUAUUACCGAGGCGUGAUGACGAUUUCCUCUUUUGGAAAGAAGUGUUUGAUGCCAUGCUUCCAGGAAAAUCCUCUAAGCUUCAGAUAAAGUGUGACCGUACCCCAAACCAACACAGGUGGGCAGGGUGAGAAUCCUAAGGCGCUUGAGAGAACUCGGGUGAAGGAACUCGGCAAAAUGGUACCGUAACUUCGGGAGAAGGUACGCCUUUGCUGGUGACCGGAUUUACUCUGUAAGCUGGCAAAGGCCGCAGAGACCAGGGGGCUGCGACUGUUUAAUAAAAACAUAGCACUGUGCAAACACGCAAGUGGACGUAUACGGUGUGACGCCUGCCCGGUGCCGGAAGGUUAAUUGAUGGGGUUAGACUUAGGUCGAAGCUCUUGAUCGAAGCCCCGGUAAACGGCGGCCGUAACUAUAACGGUCCUAAGGUAGCGAAAUUCCUUGUCGGGUAAGUUCCGACCUGCACGAAUGGCGUAACGAUGGCCCCGCUGUCUCCACCCGAGACUCAGCGAAAUUGAAUUUGCGGUGAAGAUGCCGUAUACCCGCGGUUAGACGGAAAGACCCCGUGCACCUUUACUACAGCUUCACAUUGGACUUUGAUUAUAUUUGUGUAGGAUAGCUGGGAGGCUUUGAAACCAUGUCGCUAGAUAUGGUGGAGCCAACCUUGAAAUACCAGCCUGAUAUGGUUGUGGUCCUAACCGAGGUCCGUUAUCCGGAUCCGGGACAAUGUGUGGUGGGUAGUUUGACUGGGGCGGUCUCCUCCCAAAGAGUAACGGAGGAGCGCGAAGGUACCCUCAGCACGGUCGGAAAUCGUGCAAUGAGUGCAAAAGCAUAAGGGUGCUUGACUGCGAGACAGACACGUCGAGCAGGUACGAAAGUAGGUUUUAGUGAUCCGGUGGUUCUGUAUGGAAGGGCCAUCGCUCAGCGGAUAAAAGGUACGCCGGGGAUAACAGGCUGAUACCGCCCAAGAGUUCAUAUCGACGGCGGUGUUUGGCACCUCGAUGUCGGCUCAUCACAUCCUGGGGCUGUAGCCGGUCCCAAGGGUAUGGCUGUUCGCCAUUUAAAGUGGUACGCGAGCUGGGUUUAGAACGUCGUGAGACAGUUUGGUCCCUAUCUGCCGUGGGCGCUGGAGACUUGAGAGGAGCUUCUCCUAGUACGAGAGGACCGGAGUGGACGUACCUCUGGUGUUCCGGUUGUCACGCCAGUGGCAUUGCCGGGUAGCUAUGUACGGAAGGGAUAACCGCUGAAAGCAUCUAAGCGGGAAGCCCACCUCAAGAUAAGGUCUCCCUGGAUAUUUAAUAUCCCUGAAGGGCCGUUGAAGACUACAACGUUGAUAGGCCAGGUGUGGAAGCGUGGUAACACGUGAAGCUAACUGGUACUAAUUACCCGUGAGACUUGACC
rnacentral:rRNA from 1 species